rnacentral:rRNA from 1 species
GAUGAACGCUGGCGGCGUGCCUAACACAUGCAAGUCGAGCGCGUCUUAUCGGUGCUUGCACUGAGAAAGAUGAGCGGCGGACGGGUGAGUAACGCGUGGGUAACCUGCCCUAUACACAUGGAUAACAUACUGAAAAGUUUACUAAUACAUGAUAAUAUAUAUUUACGGCAUCGUAGAUAUAUCAAAGUGUUAGCGGUACAGGAUGGACCCGCGUCUGAUUAGCUAGUUGGUGGGGUAAAAGCCUACCAAGGCGACGAUCAGUAGCCGACCUGAGAGGGUGAUCGGCCACAUUGGAACUGAGACACGGUCCAA